UGGGGAAUAUUGCACAAUGGGCGCAAGCCUGAUGCAGCGACGCCGCGUGAGGGAUGACGGCCUUCGGGUUGUAAACCUCUUUCAAUAGGGACGAAGCGCAAGUGACGGUACCUAUAGAAGAAGGACCGGCCAACUACGUGCCAGCAGCCGCGGUAAUACGUAGGGUCCGAGCGUCGUCCGGAAUUACUGGGCGUAAAGAGCUCGUAGGUGGUUUGUCGCGUUGUUCGUGAAAACUCACAGCUUAACUGUGGGCGUGCGGGCGAUACGGGCAGACUAGAGUACUGCAGGGGAGACUGGAAUUCCUGGUGUAGCGGUGGAAUGCGCAGAUAUCAGGAGGAACACCGGUGGCGAAGGCGGGUCUCUGGGCAGUAACUGACGCUGAGGAGCGAAAAGCGUGGGGAGCGAACAGGAUUAGAUACCCUGGUAGUCCACGCCGUAAACGGUGGGUACUAGGUGUGGGUUUCCUUCCUUGGGAUCCGUGCCGUAGCUAACGCAUUAAGUACCCCGCCUGGGGAGUACGGCCGCAAGGCUAAAACUCAAAUGAAUUGACGGGGUCAUAUCUGUUUCCU
rnacentral:rRNA from 1 species